rnacentral:rRNA from 1 species
UACGGGGGGAGCAAGCGUUGUUCGGAUUUACUGGGCGUAAAGGGCGCGUAGGCGGUCAGCACAAGUCAGUUGUGAAAUCUCCGGGCUUAACUCGGAAAGGUCAACUGAUACUGUGCGACUAGAGUGCGGAAGGGGCAACUGGAAUUCUCGGUGUAGCGGUGAAAUGCGUAGAUAUCGAGAGGAACACCUGCGGCGAAGGCGGGUUGCUGGGCCGACACUGACGCUGGAUGCGCGAAAGCCAGGGGAGCGAACGGG